UGGGGAAUAUUGGACAAUGGGCGCAAGCCUGAUCCAGCAAUGCCGCGUGUGUGAAGAAGGCCUUCGGGUUGUAAAGCACUUUUAUCAGGAGCGAAACGCUGUCGGCUAAUACCCGGCGGAACUGACGGUACCUGAGGAAUAAGCACCGGCUAACUUCGUGCCAGCAGCCGCGGUAAUACGAAGGGUGCAAGCGUUAAUCGGAAUUACUGGGCGUAAAGCGUGCGUAGGCGGUUUCUUAAGUCUGCUGUGAAAUCCCCGGGCUCAACCUGGGAAUGGCAGUGGAUACUGGGAGGCUAGAGUGUGUCAGAGGGUGGUGGAAAUUCCCGGUGUAGCGGUGAAAUGCGUAGAAGAUCGGGAGGAACAUCAGUGGCGAAGGCGGCCACCUGGGACAAACACUGACGCUGAGGCACGAAAAGCGUGGGGAGCAAAACAGGAUUAGAUACCCUGGUAGUCCACGCCCUAAAACGAUGCGAACUGGAUGUUGGUCUCAACUCGGAGAUCAGUGUCGAAGCUAACGCGUUAAAGUUCGCCGCCUGGGGAGUACGGUCGCAAGACUGAAACUCAAAGGAAUUGACGGGGUCAUAGCUGUUUCCUG
rnacentral:rRNA from 1 species